UUUCAUUCUUUUUUUUUUUUUUAAUCCCAUUUUGCAGCUGUAGAAUGAUUUUCAAGUCCAUCUAUUUCAAGUGAAAUAUGUUCAAGUUAUUCUGCCUUCACACCCACUCCCUCAUGUUGGUGAAUUUUGACUUCCAUGUUGGUGGUACCAUCAUCUGUAAUGGUAUCUAGAAAGAGCCAAAUGAAGAUGGGUGAAACAGCUGCAGUCAUUAUUACAAAUCUUGUUGACUUGUGGGUUGACCAUCAGAGUUAUAUAAAGAAAAAAUAACUGGAAGAUUUAGAGAAGUCUCUGGCAUUGCAUGCAUGUUUCUAGUAAGUAGUACUAAAUUUCUCUGACUCUUCCCAAAUUCUGCAACUAACUUGUGUUGUUCAGCAUGUCAUAUGAUUCUCACUGGUUCACUGUCUGUUAACUUACUAUAGUAACAAAGUACUAAAUGGGGGUUCUUAAAAAAAGAGGGAACAGGACUUUUAACGUGGGCAGAUAGGACAAGGGAGAACAGUUUCAAACUAAAACAUGGGUGUUGUGAAAAUUUCAAUUGAAGUACAUGUGCAGAAUACAAAAAUACCAAAGGAUUUUAGAAUCAUAAUUAAUUUACAGUGAAUGUCUUUCAAUUGAUAACAUACAUUAUAUUUAAUAUUUUGAGACUGAAUUUACUGGUGCAUUAAAUAGGUCAAAACUUUAAUCAUAAGUCAUAGCAAAAUACACGUUUGUUGCUUUAAAGUAGUUCAGUGGAAUUAGUGAAAGCAGCCUAGAUCCCCUCAUAAGCUAUCUGAAGCUAAGCCAAAAAUAGUGGAUGUUAAUUCCAUUUCUAUCCUAAUCCUUUCUCUGCUUGUCUAACAAUUUUCUAUAUAUUCAUAGCAGAAUAUCUGCCUCAAAAAUUCAUACUUUCCUGUUUGUGUACUCAGGUGUGAAUUUCCUUUGAAAUUUCAAAUCAAAAUCUUUCAGACAGACUCAGAACUUAAAGUAGAUAUUUUGGAGUAAAUUCCUUUCCUAUAAACUAUAUUUUUACAUUUUAAAAAUGAAAGUUAAGCCAAGCAGUCUGCUCUGCCCAGCAUGCACAAAGAAAGUUGUUUUGGGUGCCUAUGUACCCAAAAUCAGUGUGCUUCUAUCCAUGUUUCAUGAGGGUAAUCCAUUCCUGAUUAGCUGAUUCACAAAAUAAAAGGGUGUUGCAUGC
rnacentral:lncRNA from 1 species